rnacentral:rRNA from 1 species
AUACGUAGGGGGCAAGCGUUAUCCGGAUUUACUGGGUGUAAAGGGAGCGUAGACGGUGUGACAAGUCUGAUGUGAAAACCCGGGGCUCAACUCCGGGAUUGCAUUGGAAACUGCCAUACUUGAGUGCAGGAGAGGUAAGCGGAAUUCCUAGUGUAGCGGUGAAAUGCGUAGAUAUUAGGAGGAACACCGGCGGCGAAGGCGGCUUACUGGACUGUAACUGACGUUGAGGCUCGAAAGCGUGGGGAGCAAACAGGAUUAGAUACCCUGGUAGUCCACGCGGUAAACGAUGAAUACUAGGUGUUGGGGGUCUAUAGACCCUCGGUGCCGCAGCAAACGCAAUAAGUAUUCCACCUGGGGAGUACGUUCGCAAGAAUGAAACUCAAAGGAAUUGACGG